rnacentral:rRNA from 1 species
UACGUAGGUGACAAGCGUUGUCCGGAUUUACUGGGCGUAAAGAGCGCGCAGGCGGUCGAUCAAGUCGAGUGUGAAAGCCCCCGGCUCCAACUGGGGAGGGUCAUUCGAUACUGAUCGACUCGAAGGCAGGAGAGGGUAGUGGAAUUCCCGGUGUAGUGGUGAAAUGCGUAGAUAUCAAGAGGAACACCUGCGGCGAAGGCGGGUGCUGGGCCGACACUGACGCUGAGGCGCGAAGCCAGGGGAGCGAACGGG